rnacentral:rRNA from 1 species
GCUGUACGAAUAGUGCGGUAUUUUGACGUUACCAGCGGAAUAAGCACCGGCUAACUCCGUGCCAGCAGCCGCGGUAAUACGUAGGGGACAAGCGUUGUCCGGAUUCAUUGGGCGUAAAGAGCUCGUAGGCGGUCCAGUAAGUUGGGUGUGAAAGCUCCGGGCUCAACCCGGAGAGGUCACCCAAAACUGCUGUGACUAGAGUCCAGUAGAGGAGCGUGGAAUUCCUGGUGUAGCGGUGAAAUGCGCAGAUAUCAGGAGGAACACCAGCAGCGAAGGCGGCGCUCUGGGCUGGAACUGACGCUGAGGAGCGAAAGCGUGGGUAGCAAACAGGAUUAGAUACCCUGGUAGUCCACGCCGUAAACGUUGGGCACUAGGUGUGGGGGAGGAAUCAACCCUCUCUGUGCCGUAGCUAACGCAUUAAGUGCCCCGCCUGGGGAGUACGGCCGCAAGGCUAAAACUCAAAGGAAUUGACGGGGGCCCGCACAAGCGGCGGAGCAUGUUGCUUAAUUCGAGGCAACGCGAAGAACCUUACCUAGGUUGAACUACGCAGGAAAAGCCACAGAGAUGUGGUGUCCUUCGGGGUCUGCGAUAGGUGGUGCAUGGCUGUCGUCAGCUCGUGUCGUGAGAUGUUGGGUUAAGUCCCGCAACGAGCGCAACCCUUGUUCUAUGUUGCCAGCACGUAAUGGUGGGGACUCAUAGGAGACUGCCGGGGUCAACUCGGAGGAAGGUGGGGACGACGUCAAGUCAUCAUGCCCCUUAUGCCUAGGGCUGCAAACAUGCUACAAUGGCCGGUACAACGGGCUGCGAAACCGCGAGGUUUAGCGAAUCCCAUAAAGCCGGUCUCAGUUCGGAUUGAAGUCUGCAACUCGACUUCAUGAAGCUGGAGUCGCUAGUAAUCCCGGAUCAGCAACGCCGGGGUGAAUACGUUCCCGGGCCUUGUACACACCGCCCGUCACAGCACGAAAGUUGGCAACACCCGAAGUCAGUGGCCGAACCCCUCGGGGACGGAGCUGCCGAAGGUGGGGUUAGCGAUUGGGCUG